rnacentral:lncRNA from 1 species
AUGACUCAAAUCUUUGAAAAAACGGACAUGGUUAUCAGAGGGGCUUUGACAGCAGCAAGGGUGGGAGUGCUAUCUGGCGUAGUGCAUCAGAGGCUCUUAUUCCAUCUCAUUAACACACUCAGGACAUCAGCACCGGCCACCGGUCCAGGGGAAUCAGGCCGCGUUGGACUGGUGUUCACACAGCCUGCAACACACAGCCACACACCCCGGCAGGACAGCUGGCUCUCCGCCGUGCAGUUGGUCCAUCCCCAGCCAGGGUGUGAAGAUGAACAUCAAGAGCCAUCGCCCUCCUGCCCUUUGCACCGACCAUGCUGCCCUGCCAAUGUCAAGAUCAACGGGCUGUUGGGGAGAACAACUAAAUUCUGCCCCCAAUACUUCUGCAUUUACUGAAGAAACAAGAACCGACUAGGAAAG